GUAGGGGGCCAGCGUUGUCCGGAUUCAUUGGGCGUAAAGAGCGUGUAGGCGGUUCAAUAGGUCCGAUGUGAAAACUCGAGGCUCAACCUCGAGAGGUCGUCGGAAACCAUUGAGCUAGAGUCCGGAAGAGGAGAGUGGAAUUCCAGGUGUAGCGGUGAAAUGCGCAGAUAUCAGGAAGAACACCGAUGGCGAAGGCAGCUCUCUGGGACGGUACUGACGCUGAGACGCGAAAGCGUGGGGGGAGCGAACAGGAUUAGAUACCCUGGUAGUCCACGCCGUAAACGAUGGGCACUAGGUGUGGGUGGUGUCGACUCCAUCCGUGCCGCAGCUAACGCAUUAAGUGCCCCCGCCUGGGAGUACGGCCGCAAGGCUA
rnacentral:rRNA from 1 species